rnacentral:rRNA from 1 species
CAGCAGCCGCGGUAAUACGAAGGGGGCUAGCGUUGCUCGGAAUCACUGGGCGUAAAGGGUGCGUAGGCGGGUCUUUAAGUCAGGGGUGAAAUCCUGGAGCUCAACUCCAGAACUGCCUUUGAUACUGAAGAUCUUGAGUUCGGGAGAGGUGAGUGGAACUGCGAGUGUAGAGGUGAAAUUCGUAGAUAUUCGCAAGAACACCAAUGGCGAAGGCAGCUUCUUGGUCCAUUCCUGACGUUCAUACACGAAAGCGUGGGGAGCAAACAGGAUUAGAUACCCGUGUAGUCCCUGUCUCUUAUAC